GGUAGGUGGCUCAGUGGUAGAGUGCUUGCCUUGCAUGCAUAAGGCCCUGGGUUCCAUUCCCCAGUACCA
rnacentral:tRNA from 1 species